CUCUGAAGUUGUUUAGCCUUAUUUGAAAAUGCCUUAUGCAUUAUUUCAGGUGUAAGAAGAUGAUGAUGAGAGGCCUGCAGAAGCCAGGCAAAGAAGCCUUGAAUGCUGCCUAGACCUCUGUUAACCUUUCGUCCUGCCAUCCACCAUCCUGCCAAUACUCUGAUCUCUGGUUCAUGGAUCCUGAACUCCUGAAGCUGAUCUUGCCCCUUUGAUAAAAAGGCGAAUUACAUGAUUUGAU
rnacentral:lncRNA from 1 species